rnacentral:rRNA from 1 species
UACGUAGGUGGCAAGCGUUGUCCGGAUUUACUGGGCGUAAAGGGCGUGCAGGCGGUUUGUUAAGUGCAGAGUGAAAAGCUCCCGGCUCAACUGGGAGAGGUCUUUGCAUACUGGCAAACUCGAGGGAGGCAGAGGAAAGUGGAAUUCCCGGUGUAGUGGUGAUAUGCGUAGAUAUCGGGAGGAACACCUGUGGCGAAGGCGGCUUUCUGGGCCUUUACCUG